rnacentral:rRNA from 1 species
UACGGAGGGUGCAAGCGUUAUCCGGAUUUACUGGGCUUAAAGGGUGCGUAGGUGGGCAGGUAAGUCAGUGGUGAAAUCUCUGGGCUUAACCCGGAAACUGCCGUUGAUACUAUCUGUCUUGAAUAUAGUGGAGGUGAGCGGAAUAUGUCAUGUAGCGGUGAAAUGCUUAGAUAUGACAUAGAACAUCGAUUGCGAAGGCAGCUCGCUACACUAUGAUUGACACUGAGGCACGAAAGCGUGGGGAGCAAACAGG